rnacentral:rRNA from 1 species
AUGGCGCUACCGGCGACGACCCCGCGCGCGGCGGCGCGCUGUCCGAUCGCGGCGUGCGCGCCCACGCCACCGGUGACGGCCGGAGGGAGGCCCCGGGAGCUGCCGUUCGCGCUGCUGGCGGAGCGGGGGAUGAUGGUGGGGGGUCACCGCGGGAUGGGGAUGAACGCGGUGGGGGCGCCGCCCGGGGCGCGCGUCGGGGCGGCGAGGGAGCGGGAGAACACGCUGCUCUCAUUCGGCCGCGCCGCCGAGCACGCCGCCGUCGCCUUCGUCGAGUUCGACGUCCAGGUUACAAAAGAUGGCUGCCCAGUUAUCUUCCACGAUGAUUUUAUCCUCACCCAAAAAACUGAGGUUUUGUAUGAAAUGCGUGUGACCGAUCUUCUUCUGGAAGAAUUCCUUUCAUAUGGGGUACAAAAAGAACCUCACAAGGUCUCCAAGCCCUUACUUAGACGGAUGGAAGAUGGCAGAGUCCUUACUUGGAGCACCGAAGAAGAUGAUUAUCUCUGCACAUUGCAGGAAGUCUUCGAACAUGUCAGUCCCCAUCUGGGAUUUAACAUCGAACUAAAGUUUGAUGACAACAUUAUCUAUCCGAGUGUCAACCUUAACCGUGCUCUUCAAGCUGUACUGCAAGUUGUUUUUCAGUAUGCUGGUAACAGACCACUCUUUUUCUCAACAUUCCAACCUGAUGCCGCACGGAUAACACGUGAGCUCCAAAGUGUAUACCCUGUACUGUUCUUAACAGAAGGGGGAACAGCCAAACACGAUGAUACGAGAAGGAACUCACUCGACAAUGCUAUCCAUGUGUGCCAAGAGUAUGACUUGCAUGGGGUUGUGUCAGAAGUCAGAGGAGUUCUAAAAAAUCCCUCUGCGAUCCUAAAAGCACAAGAAUCCAACCUUGCUAUUCUCACCUAUGGGCAGCUCAAUAAUGUGCGGGAGGCUGUUUACGUCCAGUAUCUAAUGGGUGUGAAUGGUGUCAUUGUUGAUCUAGUGGAGGAGAUCUCGAAUGCUGUUGCAGAUUUCAGUAAACCAGACCUUGGCCAGAGCACGUUCAGUAACAGCGUUGACAUAGGCAGAAAACACGAGUCCUUCUCACAGCAGCAGCUGGGGUUCCUGCUCCGGCUUAUACCUGAACUGAUUCAGCAACCACACUGA